rnacentral:rRNA from 1 species
AGCGAACGCUGGCGGCAGGCCUAACACAUGCAAGUCGAACGAAGUCUUCGGACUUAGUGGCGGGCGGGUGAGCAACACGUGGGAACGUGCCUCUAGGUUCGGAAUAACUCAGGGAAACUUGUGCUAAUACCGAAUGUGCCCUUCCGGGGAAAGAUUUAUCGCCUUUAGAGCGGCCCGCGGCUGAUUAGCUAGUUGGUGAGGUAAAGGCUCACCAAGGCUACGAUCAGUAGCUGGUCUGAGAGGAUGGCCAGCGACAUUGGGACUGAGACACGGCCCAAACUCCUACGGGAGGCAGCAGUGGGGAAUCUUGCGCAAUGGGCGAAAGCCUGGCGCAGCCAUGCCGGGUGGAUGAUGAAGGUCUUAGGAUUGUAAAAUCCUUUCUCCGGUGAAGAUAAUGACUGUAGCCGGAGAAGAAGCCCCGGCUAACUUCGUGCCAGCCGCCGCCGUAAAAC